UACCAGCACCCCGAGUGGUCGGGACGAUUAUUGGGCCUAAAGCAUCCGUAGCCGGUUCUACAAGUCUUCCGUUAAAUCCACCUGCUUAACAGAUGGGCUGCGGAGGAUACUAUAGAGCUAGGAGGCGGGAGAGGCAAGCGGUACUUAGUGGAUAGGGGUAAAAUCCGUUGAUCCAUUGAAGACCACCAGUGGCGAAGGCGGCUUGCCAGAACGCACUCGACGGUGAGGGAUGAAAGCUGGGGGAGCAAACCGG
rnacentral:rRNA from 1 species